UUUAUUCCAACUUCAAUUUAUGUACUACAACACCUAACACAAAAUCGAAGAAGUUCUCAUGUACUCAUUUUUCUUUUACUACAGCUCCAUCAGUUUCAUCAGUCAACCCACUUGAAUUAAGUACCGCCAACUGCCAGGCCACGCUCUUUAAGACUCCUACCAACAAUCAUCACACGAUUAACCACAGCACAGUGUCAGUUCCACCAUCACCAGUUUUUACCAUCAUCAUCAUCCUGCUGCUGUCUCACCAUUAUCUACCAUAUUCCAUCAUCACCAGUUUUCACCCAUUAUUCAACACCAUCAGCCACCUACUUCACUAUUAUCUACCAUAGUAAGUAUCAAUGACCUGACACAAGUCGGGACACCUUCGCAGGAUGAACUUCUCUUCCAACAAAUUAGUGCUAUCAUCUCAAACAUUGUGCCUAACCAUGACCAGUAUCAUACGAUUCAGUACAACAAGAAGCAUUCAAAACUAUUCAUCCAAUUUGCAAAAAUGUCCUCCGAGCCUGCCAUUUUAAUCUACUAUUAUGUGCUUUUACCACACACUAGCCUAGCUUUACACAAUAGCCUCUUUCCUUUACAGAUGACUUCACACGCAGUGCACAGGCCGUUUUAAACCAACUGAAGGACUUUGAGGAAAUGACAAAUGAGAAGUUGUCCUAUGCCCAG